GAAAACGCGACUAGAGAGGAGUGAACUGUAGCUGAUUCUGUCCCUCGCGAGGCACCGUAGGUCUAGGAAACUCCAGGGCCUGAACUCUAUUUCCUGUAGUUGUUAGCAUCUCCCAUCGUGGGCUAUAGGAUCAUGACUCGGGGCCCCUGCCCUGGAACUUAGGCGAGGUUCCAGACGCCGAAAGAGGUAGUUUUAAAGAUUUUGGAAAUCGUGAGAACCCUAUAAAGUGAAUCUAGUUUGAUUCUGAGAACCCAUUGGCAUUCUGGCUUUUGUCGUUCUGUUUUAUUUAAUUGACACCAUCAUCUCUCCUGGCAUGUCGGCUUUCGGUCCCCGUCUCCGGUCCAGGCAGCGGACGCUACCACCAAGCAAGCUCAUUUUACAGAUGAGGCAACUGAGGCAAACAAGAUGAAGUGAUUUGCCCGAGGUCAUAUAGCUGGUAGGUGGCCGUGGUCACAUUUGGAUUCAAGUUUUCUUUACCCCAGUCCCGUGAGCCACUCCACAGCCACAAAACUUUAUGGUUGAAUAAUGUCCAAAGCAGGACCAUGCCCUGUCCCUUGGUAUAGCUGCCUGUCAGGACCCUGCCGGUUGAGAAGACAUUCUUUUCUCAGUGCCAGCCUCCACUUCCUUAAUAGGAUUUUGCCACUAUGAAAUCAGUCUUCUAGCAAAGCUGACUUCUCAUCCAAGAAUAAACUUCCAUUUUUCCACCCAAAA